GGACGUUUUACCUUUGGUGGUGAUGGUGAGCUUAAACCUCUUCACUCCGCUAGGUUCCUCCUGCAGUCAACAAAAUCAAGCUCCGCUUCCAAAAGAUUAGGGUUUUCGGAUGUGGCCUCUAGAGCUCAAAGAAGAAAAUUUCCAGAAGUCUUUUUGAUGCUCAGAAGUGCUUUUAUCUUGUUUCACGCUACACUUCCGGAAACGGUUAUGGUUGGUUGAUUUGUGGUUUCGUCCAAUGCAUCAAUAUCCAUUGAUUCUAAAAUAUUCUGAUUUUGAUGAUUGUGUGUCGCACUGGGAAGUUGGGACUGCCAAAAUGUUGACUGUUGAAUAGCUGUGGAAUCGCUUGCACGAGCAUUGCUUUUCUUAACCUUCUUCAACUUCCUCAAGAAAUACCAGAAUUUGGAUUUGGCACGAACUUCAUUGGUUGCCCAAAGCUUCAUGCGGUAAAUCUUCGGGUGCUCAUCGGUUUCCGUUGGAAGACCCCUUCCGACGACCCGGUACUGGUGAAACUUUGCCUUAACCAUUUUUACGAUGAGCAGCGGUUCCGAUUGCGACUCGCCGCCGAUUCAAUUUUUGCUGUUUUGUGAAUUAUUGUUUGUUGCAGGUGAACAAAUGGUGUUAUUGCAGAAGUUGGUAUGCUGUUUGCCACCAUUUAUUUUGUUAAUUUUCUCUUCUAUUUCCAAGUCAAACUCAGGCUCAUGACUCUGAAACUCGGUUUU